GGGAAGGAAACAGGCUUAGAGAAGAUCCGGAGUCACGAGUGUUGUUUAUAGUGUUUAUAGUGAUUAGUGCUUCAUUUCUGCCCUCCACCAUAUUAGUAAAGGAAAACCGAACAGCGUUGUGUGAUAUGGCAAGCUACAGAGAAUAAGAGAGUGUGAAAAGACGUGAGGUGGUGUUGCUGGAUACUGACUAAGACUAAGACUGUGUGAUCUGACAAGCUACAGAGAAUAAUGCUGGCUGGGCGUACUGAGACGAUAUCCACGCAGGAGUCGUACAAAUAGUGGUAGUAAGUCGUUCUAUCAAGAGACACUCAUCUCUCAAACCAACUAACCGAAGGGACGAGGCCUGGCCAGGGACUGAAGUUUCUGAGGAGACAUUGAGCUGAAGCAAUCUUUUCGGUUGUCUCUCUUGGUUAGAAAUGCAGCUGACACCACGCACUGCUUAGGACGCUGAGGAGCAACAAGAGACAAAGCAGACUAAGGGAUGUGGAUGGCGGCACCUGCACUAUUUAGCUCUGGUGUGAUGGCCAAGGUGUACCCAAAACCCAAGCCAACCUGCAGGUGUUCCGUGGCUACCUACCCCCAAUACCUCCAUCCUACCCCUACCACUCCUCCCCCUCACCACACCUGCUCCACCUCCUCCCCGCAUCACCAACUCUAAAAGAAAAAAACAUCCCACCUCGCUCCGCCCCGCCCUACUUCGUCCUGCCGCGCCUCUCCGCCUGA